GGGUGGUUAGCUCAGUGGUAGAGCGUCUCGUUUACACCGAGAAUGUCGGGGGUUCGAAACCCUCACCGCCCA
rnacentral:tRNA from 7 species